rnacentral:rRNA from 1 species
AUUGAACGCUGGCGGCAUGCCUUACACAUGCAAGUCGAACGGCAGCACGGACUUCGGUCUGGUGGCGAGUGGCGAACGGGUGAGUAAUAUAUCGGAACAUACCCUAGAGUGGGGGAUAACGUAGCGAGAGUUACGCUAAUACCGCAUACGAUCUAAGGAUGAAAGCGGGGGAUCGCAAGACCUCGUGCUCAUGGAGUGGCCGAUAUCUGAUUAGCUAGUUGGUGAGGUAAAGGCUCACCAAGGCGACGAUCAGUAGCUGGUUUGAGAGAACGAUCAGCCACACUGGAACUGAGACACGGUCCAGACUCCUACGGGGGGCAGCAGUGGGGAAUAUUGGACAAUGGGCGCAAGCCUGAUCCAGCCAUACCGCGUGGGUGAAGAAGGCCUUCGGGUUGUAAAGCCCUUUUGUUGGGAAGGAAAUCCAGCUGGCUAAUACCCGGUUGGGAUGACGGUACCCAAAGAAUAAGCACCGGCUAACUUCGUGCCAGCAGCCGCAGUAA